rnacentral:tRNA from 1 species
GGAGAGGUGGCAGAGUCCGGUUGAUCGCGCACGACUCGAAAUCGUGUAGGGGUUACACCCUCGUGGGUUCGAAUCCCACCCUCUCCG